ACAAGAUUCGGACCCUCGGCUGAUCGAGUAACAACACCCGCUCAAUGGUAGAUCUUCCCUUUGUCGU
rnacentral:pre_miRNA from 1 species